GCCGCGGUAACACCGGCGGCUCGAGUGGUAACCGUUAUUAUUGGGUCUAAAGGGUCUGUAGCCGGCCGGAUAAGUCUCUUGAGAAAUCUGGCAGCUUAACUGUCAGGCUUUCAGGAGAUACUGUCUGGCUCGAGGCCGGGAGAGGUGAGAGGUACUUCAGGGGUAGGGGUGAAAUCUUGUAAUCCUUGAAGGACCACCAGUGGCGAAGGCGUCUCACCAGAACGGACCUGACGGCAAGGGACGAAAGCUAGGGGCACGAACCGGAUUAGAUACCCGGGUAGUCCUAGCCGUAAACGAUACUCGCUAGGUGUCGGCCACGGUGCGACCGUUGUCGGUGCCGUAGGGAAGCCGUGAAGCGAGCCACCUGGGAAGUACGGCCGCAAGGCUGAAACUUAAAGGAAUUGGCGGGGGAGCACCACAACGGGUGGAGCUUGCGGUUUAAUUGGAUUCAACGCCGGGAAGGGCG
rnacentral:rRNA from 1 species